rnacentral:rRNA from 1 species
GACGAACGCUGGCGGCGUGCUUAACACAUGCAAGUCGAACGGUAAGGCCCUUCGGGGUACACGAGUGGCGAACGGGUGAGUAACACGUGGGUGAUCUGCCCUGCACUUCGGGAUAAGCCUGGGAAACUGGGUCUAAUACCGGAUAGGACUCCUGGCUUCAUGGUUGGGGGUGGAAAGUUUUUGCGGUGUGGGAUGGGCCCGCGGCCUAUCAGCUUGUUGGUGGGGUAAUGGCCUACCAAGGCGACGACGGGUAGCCGGCCUGAGAGGGUGACCGGCCACGCUGGGACUGAGAUACGGCCCAGACUCCUACGGGGGGCAGCAAUGGGGAAUAUUGCACAAUGGGCGCAAGCCUGAUGCAGCGACGCCGCGUGAGGGAUGACGGCCUUCGGGUUGUAAACCUCUUUCAGCACCGACGAAGCGCAAGUGACGGUAGGUGCAGAAGAAGGACCGGCCAACUACGUGCCAGCAGCCGCGGUAA